rnacentral:rRNA from 1 species
UACGUAGGGGGCAAGCGUUGUCCGGAAUCAUUGGGCGUAAAGAGCGCGUAGGCGGCCCGAUAAGUCCGCUGUGAAAGUCAAGGGCUUAACCCUUGAAUGCCGGUGGAAACUGAUCGGGCUAGAGUCCGGAAGAGGCGGAGUGGAAUUCCUGGAUGUAGCGGGUAGAAAGUGACGCAGAUAUCAGGAGGAACACCGGUGGCGAAGGCGGUUCUCUGGGCAUGAUCUGACGCUGAGGAGCGAAAGUGUGGGGAGCGAACAGG